GACGUUCUCGGGAGCCGUCGUCCCCCAGCUCGCUUUAGUGCCCUUCUGCUUUCCGAAUCUAAUGUCCAUAAAGGACAAGAAUUUUCACUUGUUUUGCUCGCCGCUGUAUUCCUGGUGCCUAGCACAGUGCCACAGAGCGAGAGGGAAAGACUUCCGGCCUCCAGAACCGUGAGACAAUACAUUUCUGUUGCGGGAGCCACGAAGUGUGUUACAGCAGCUACAGGCAACUAAUACAGCGGUUAAAAGCAUGAAUUCCAGAAUCAGAAUGGCUGGCCACAAAUCUCCCAGCUUGGUGACGCAGGUGCACCAGGAGGGCACGAACUGAGGACCCAACGGUGGGAUUCCUUUCAUCCCAACCGGAGGACAAAAUACCUGUUUUUCUCCUCUCAGCCUAAUGCAGGGAUUUAUGUGACCUCCUCACUGGAGCCCAGGACACAACAUGUCUUUACAUAGAAAUAAACUUCACUUCCAUGAAUUCUCAGUGGCCUAGGGAUAUCACGAAGGGGUAUCUCUCCUUUCUGAAUCCUGAUGCCUCGUCUGCUUACUCAACAGCCAGCCAAAUUCACAACACCGGCCCGCCCCCCUCUUCCCUGGCCACCAGCUUCCUCGAUAAAAGAUCUGUUACUGUA